rnacentral:rRNA from 1 species
UACAGAGGUCUCAAGCGUUGUUCGGAUUCAUUGGGCGUAAAGGGUGCGUAGGCGGCGCGGUAAGUCGGGUGUGAAAUCUCGGGGCUUAACUCCGAAACUGCAUUCGAUACUGCCGUGCUUGAGGACUGGAGAGGAGACUGGAAUUCUGGUGUAGCGGUGAAAUGCGCAGAUAUCGAGGAGGAACACCGGUGGCGAAGGCGGGUCUCUGGGCCGAACUGACGCUGAGGAGCGAAAGCAUGGGGGAGCGAAACAGG